AUUGCCUUAGUACGGCGAGUGAAGCGGCAAAAGCUCAAAUUUGAAAUCUAGUACCUUCGGUGCUCGAGUUGUAAUUUGAAGAUGGUAACUUUGGAGUUGGCCCUUGUCUAUGUUCCUUGGAACAGGACGUCACAGAGGGUGAGAAUCCCGUCUGACGAGGUGAUCCAACUCUAUGUAAAGUGCUAUCGAAGAGUCGAGUUGUUUGGGAAUGCAGCUCUAAGUGGGUGGUAAAUUCCAUCUAAAGCUAAAUAUUGGCGAGAGACCGAUAGCGAACAAGUACAGUGAUGGAAAGAUGAAAAGAACUUUGAAAAGAGAGUGAAAAAGUACGUGAAAUUGUUGAAAGGGAAGGGUAUUAGAUCAGACUUGGCGUUUUAUGAUUAUCUUCUCUUCUUGAGUUGUGCACUCGUAUUGCGCUGGGCCAGCAUCGAUUCGGAUGGCAGGAUAAUGGCAAUUGAAUGUGGCAUCCACUUCGGUGUAUGUGUUAUAGCUUUUGUUGAUGCUGCCUAUCUGGAUCGAGGACUGCGUCUUUUGACUAGGAUGUUGGCGUAAUGAUCUAAUAUCGCCGCUG
rnacentral:rRNA from 1 species